rfam:Schistosoma mansoni strain Puerto Rico chromosome 1, complete genome
GCACUGCUGAGGAGUCCCAUGAUGGGACGAAACGGCCGUCCAGUGC